rnacentral:rRNA from 1 species
UGGGGAAUAUUGCACAAUGGGCGAAAGCCUGAUGCAGCGACGCCGAGUGAGGGAUGACGGCCUUCGGGUUGUAAACCUCUUUCAGCAGGGACGAAGCGCAAGUGACGGUACCUGCAGAAGAAGCACCGGCUAACUACGUGCCAGCAGCCGCGGUAAUACGUAGGGUGCAAGCGUUGUCCGGAAUUACUGGGCGUAAAGAGUUCGUAGGCGGUUUGUCGCGUCGUUUGUGAAAACCAGCAGCUCAACUGCUGGCUUGCAGGCGAUACGGGCAGACUUGAGUACUGCAGGGGAGACUGGAAUUGCUGGUGUAGCGGUGAAAUGCGCAGAUAUCAGGAGGAACACCGGUGGCGAAGGCGGGUCUCUGGGCAGUAACUGACGCUGAGGAACGAAAGCGUGGGUAGCGAACAGG